rnacentral:rRNA from 1 species
AAUCAUUCGCAAUGGGCGCAAGCCUGACGAUGCGACGCUGCGUGAACGAUGAAGGCCUUCGGGUCGUAAAGUUCUUUCGCCGGGGAACAAGGGAAGAUAGCUAAUACCUAUCCUACUUGAGGGUACCAGGUAAAGAAGCACCGGCUAACUCCGUGCCAGCGGCUGCGGUAAUACGGAGGGUGCAAGCGUUAAUCGGAUUUAUUGGGCGUAAAGGGGGCGUAGGCGGGAAAGAAAGUCAGCCGUGAAAGCCCGAGGCUCAACCUCGGAACAGCGUUUGAAACUUCUUUUCUUGAGGGUAGGCGGAGAAAACAGAAUUCCACAAGUAGCGGUGAAAUGCGUAGAUAUGUGGAAGAAUACCGGUGGCGAAGGCGGUUUUCUAGCUUAUUCCUGACGCUAAGGCCCGAAAGCUAGGGGAGCAAACAGG